CCUUCCUGAACCUCUCCCUCUUGGAUUUGUUCUCAGUCUUCUGUAAAGUGGAAGGGAAUAAGAAGUCAGCCCUCUUGUAUGGAAGAAUGGUACAUCUGACAACAAUGACCUGUGACACUUGCCCUUUAAGAUGAGGAGCCUUGUGCUGCGUCUCCAGUGAGAUUCUGCCCAGAAAAGUCACAAGAAUUAAAGAUGAAGAGGAUUUCUGCACAGUAAAAGGGCUACAAGGCACACUUCACAGAAACGGACUGAUCAUUACAAGUAGUAUUCACCAGAUGAAGAAUCUGAAGAUCAAAGAAUUUAAACAACUUGUGCAAGAUCCUAGUGCCUGAGCAGGACUUUGAAGCCAGGUCAAUUUGAUAGCAAAUGCAAAGUGUGUUCUACUUGUCCUGAAUGGUCUUUGACAACUAUAAUAAAU